rnacentral:rRNA from 1 species
UACAGAGGGUGCGAGCGUUAAUCGGAAUUACUGGGCGUAAAGCGCACGUAGGCGGAUAUUUAAGUCAGGGGUGAAAUCCCAGAGCUCAACUCUGGAACUGCCUUUGAUACUGGGUAUCUUGAGUAUGGAAGAGGUAAGUGGAAUUGCGAGUGUAGAGGUGAAAUUCGUAGAUAUUCGCAGGAACACCAGUGGCGAAGGCGGCUUACUGGUCCAUAACUGACGCUGAGGUGCGAAAGCGUGGGGAGCAAACAGG